CACGCGUAUGAGGAUUGCGCCUAAGAAAUUAACAGAUUAUGUUGUGACUAGUGCAAAUCACGUGUGUGUUGGAAAUUAGUAUAAGUAGCUAAUAUGAGGAUGAGUAGGGUAGGCAAUAAGUUGUAACAAAUUCUUAUUCUCAUCCUUGUGAUCUUCUCAUCCUCAUCAUCUUCUUUAUCUUAUUUUAUGCUUUUGUAUUGUCUUUGUUUCCUUCAAUUUCAGUUCUACUGUGAUCAAUUUGGCAGUGUUGUUCAUAAAAUAAUACUUCAGUUCCAUUGGUGCUUUCAUUGAACUGACUAUCACGUCACCAGAUUUGAAACUCAAAGCUCCCGCCAAAUCCAUCUCGGACUCUUCUGACCUUUCUGAUGCGGACCUCCAUUCCCAUCUAGCAAACCAACAAUUAGUGAUUCAGGAUCUUGCUGCGCAAUUUGCAAAUCUCAGCUCUCGUUUUAUAGUCGUUGGUGGUUGCUCCACCUUUUGGCUUGGCUGGUAGUGCCUCUGGUAGUCAUAUGACCAUUCGUCACAAACCGGCACCGAUUCAAUUUGGUCGUUUUAAUGGUGCUCAGGCAGACGCUUGGAUCUUUCAGGCUGAUGAUCAUUAUUUUGAUUUCUAAGGCAUUGUUGCUGAACAUAAAUUGACCUUGACUUCAUUUUACCUUGACAGUGAAGCAUUGGGGUGGUAUAAAUGGCUUUACUGCAAUAAGCAAUUGAGUGAUUGGCCUCGAUUUACAGAGAAAAUGCUUAGUCGCUUUCGUACCUGUCAUAUCCUUUUGCCGAAAAGUUCGUCUGUCUAAGAUGAUGCAAAAUUCUACUAUUGCAAACUUUCGUCGUCGUUUUGAGGCUGUUAUGAAUGAAACAAUGACGUUGCCUGAGGAGUUGUUGGUGGAAUGCUUUAUUUCGAGCGUUCGACCCAAUAAUUUUGACGGCUGUUACUGCUCAUCAGCCCACCCGAUUAAACCAAGUUAUUAACAUAGCCUAUAUUCCAGAGCAACAUAUUAUAUAUGAAAAAGGGCCGCCCGACCCGCCUUUGCUCGGACUCAACCCUUAUUACCCACACCAACUUCACAUUCAUCCCCAAUUGCGCCAACGGCGCCCUCUCGUGGUCGUCUUCCUUUUAAGCGUCCGUCUCAAGCUGAAAUGCAGAUUCGUCUAGAGAAAGACUUUGCUUCAAUUGUGACGAGAAGUAUUUUGCCGGCCACCGUUGUAAGACUAGCUUUCAACUAUUGCUUUUGUCGUAUGAGGUCGAGGAUCCCUUGCUUAUGCCAACACCUGAUAUAUCUGAGAAGGUCAUCACCGAUGAACUUCAACGUUUGGAGGUUCAGGCUCACUCCACUAUUCCUUAUGAUGCCUUAACUGGUGGUAUCGUAGACUAUGUGAUUCGUCUCACCGUACAUGUCACUGGUUCUCUGAUACAGGUGCUUGUAGACGGCGAUAGCACACAUAAUUUCAUUUAGUCUCGGGUGGCCAAGUUUCUCCAGCUCCCAGUAACACCAGUCCCUAUUUUCUCUGUGGUGGUAGGAAGUGGACAACUUCUCAAGUGUGAUGGUAUGUGUCGUCGUGUACCAUUGACAAUUUAGAGAUCAACUAUUUGUCUAGAUUUCUUUGUGUUAGCUGUUCAUGGGGCGAAUUUGUUCAUUGGGGCAUGAUAGAUGGCUACGUUAGGCCCUGUGGUCAAGGAUUAUGGAGCUCGUACUUUUUAACUCAACUUGGUGAACAGUAAUGCAGUUGGCAUGGCAAUCCACCAGAUGCACAACCCAUCUAGUUGCAUAGCCUUCGUCGUUUAACAUCUACUGAUGCCCGCCUAUAUCGUUAUCCUUAUUUUCAGAAGAAUCUCAUGGAACGAUUAGUUGGGGAUAUGCUUCGCGACAGGGUGAUUCGUCCCAGCACCAACCUCUAUUCUUCGCCUGUACUUUUACUACGCAAAAAAGAUGGCACUUGGCACUUUUGUGUGGAUAAUCGCGCCUUGAAUAUUGUCACAGUGCGCGACAGAUUUUUGAUUCCCACUAUUGAUGAACUUUUUGAUGAGCUUUAGGCUGCCCAAUUUUUUUCUAAAUUGGACUUAUUAUCAGACAAUUAUCAGAUUCGGGUCCGACCAGGGGACAUUGAGAAAACUGCAUUUCAGACCCAGAAGGGCAUCUGUUGAUUAUUUGGGCCAUGUUAUCACUACCGCUUGUUUAGCAGUGGACCCAACUAAAAUUACAGCGAUUCAGCAGUGGCCUACGCCUUCUUCCGUGAAAGAAGUACAAAGUUCCUUAGGAUUGGCUGGGUACGACCGUUGAUUUAUUCAUCUUUAUGCAUCCAUAGCUGCCACCUUGACUGAGUUGUUACGUAAGGAGGCCUUUGUGUGGGUUGUACCCCAAUAGGAAGCUGUUGAAGCGUUAAGGCUUUGUCUCAGCUCCACCCAUGUUUUGGCUCUUCAGGAUUUUAGCAAAGCUUUCCAAUUGGAAAUUGAUGGCUCUGGCAUUGACGUUGGAUCUAUAUUAUCACAGAAUGGCCAUCUGUUGCUUUUUUCAGUCAAAUACUUAGCAAACGCAUGCAACAAACUUCAACCUAUCACAGGGAAAUGUUCACCAUCAUUCAAGUUGUUGGCAAGUGGUGACAAUAUUUGUUGGGACGCCAAUUUACCACAGUGACUGAUCAACAGUCACUCAAGAACUUGACCACCCAAACUAUUCAGACACCUGAUCAACAAAAAUGGCUUAGCAAGUUGGUUGACUAUGACUUCACCAUUAUAUAUCGACCUGGCCAACAUAAUGGAGCUAUUGAUGCAUUGUCUAGAGUUUCGGAUAUCAUUUACAUGAUGCUAUCUGGGAGCGUGGCCUCUUUUCUUACUAAAUUAAGACACCUUAUUGUAUGCCUUUUUUUGUCAAGCAAUUAAUGU